GGAUCAAAGAGAGGGUGGAAAGGCUCUUAAAUAGAGCUGGGAGGAUGCUAAAAUCUUUCUCAAAGUUGCUUAUCCAGUGAGUUUAGGGAGAAGUGGAAGAUGAGUCCUUUUCGGACUUGCAUCUUCCCCUUUUUUGUUUUUCUAGCACCUGCAAAGCACGUGCUAGUCCUAAGAUUUUUUUUUUAUUACUAGUUUAUGCUAUGUUUUUGGAUUG
rnacentral:lncRNA from 1 species